CGCCAUCCUGGCCUUGUUGGCCGCCUGCCUCUUCCUUCUCACCGCCACCAUAGGACUGGGGGUCCGAUGUGAGUAGCAGGUCCCCCUGCACAAGCCCAUUGAGCUGAUAAAUGGGGGAGGGGGGAAAUGUCUGUGAACCACCCUGAGAUCUUUUGAUAAAGGGCAGCAUAUAAAUUUAAUAAAUAAAAUAUAAUAAGUGUUGCAGGCAUUUGAUGCAGAGCUUACCCUGGAGCCUGGGCUCAGAGAGGGUCUGCCUGGUGCCCUCCAGAUAGUGUUAAACUCCAGUUCCCACCAGUCCCAACCUGCAAGGUCAGUGGUCAGGUUCAAGGGGAGCUGGAGCUUCACAUCAGGAGAGUACCUCACUGUCUCCUCGGAUGUGGUGUUGUUGUUGUGGUUGAGUCGUUUAGUUGUGUCCGCCUCUUUGUGACCCCCUGGACCAGAGCACGCCAGGCCCUCCUGUCUUCCACUGCCCUCCUCAUGUUGGUAGCCUCGAGACCACGGCCCCACCAUCUCAUCCCCUUCUCCUUGUGCCCUCCAUCUUUCCCAACAUCAGGGUCUUUUCCAGGGAGUCUUCUCUUCUCAUGAGGUGGCCAAAGUCUUGGAGCCUCAGCUUCAGGAUCUGUCCUUCCAGUGAGCACUCAGGGCUGAUUUCCUUCAGAAUGGAUCGGUUUGAUCUUCUUGCAGUCCAUGGGACUCUCAAGAGUCUCCUCCAACACCAUAACUCAAAACUCCCCUGAUGUAUACCCCCCCUUUGUAUCUCUCUGAGCAGCCUGCCUUUGGGCUCCCGCAGUGGAGCCUGGCUCCCCUCUGCCAUGCUGCCUGCCUGGCACCUGAAGCUCCCCCCUCCUCCUCCUCCUCCUCCUCCUCCUCCUCUCAUGUCGCCCCUGCUUGUGCUCUGCAGACUGGCAGGUCUCACAGCAGCUGCAGCAGGCGACUGAAGAUGGCAGUGCCCUGGAACGGAGAAUGGGCUCCCAGGAGGGCAGCCUGGCCCAGACCCAGGCCCAGCUGGAAGAGGCCCAGGAGGAGCUCCACUCCACCAACGGGACCCUCCGGAGCUGCCUGGCUGCCGAGAACAGGACGCAGGAGCAGCUGAGGCAAGCCAACCAGAGCCUGAUGCUCACGCAGCAGGAGAAGGAGAAGCUGCAGCAGGAGAAGGAGGAGCU